UACGUAGGGAGCAAGCGUUGUCCGGAUUUAUUGGGCGUAAAGCGCACGCAGGCGGUUUAGUCAGUCUCUACUGACAGUGUCCGGCUCAACCGGGCAAGUGGUAGGGAAACUGCUAAACUUGAGGGCUUCAGAGGGAUGGGGAACUCCAGGUGGAGUGGUGAAAUGCGUAGAUAUCUGGAGGAACACCGGUGGUGUAGACGGCUUUCUGGACCGUAACUGACGCUGAGACACGAAAGCGUGGGUAGCAAACAGG
rnacentral:rRNA from 1 species